rnacentral:lncRNA from 1 species
AUGUUCCUGUCCAGGCUGAAGGAUCCAGAAGUACCUUCAAGAUGCCAAUUCACUUCCGCUCCCAAGAAGACCCCGCAGCCCCAUUGUGCUCCUCCUCAGAGCGGCCGGCACUGGGCAUGCAGAGACCGCCUUCAGUGCUGGGCUGAGGCUCUCUCCCCACCUGGAGAACCGCAGGUCGCAAGACCCAGGGGGGCCGCCUGGGUGGCUCAGGGGUUGAGCAUCUGCAUUUGGCUCAGGGCGUGGCCCUGGGGUGGGGUGGGGGGGCUCCCUGCAGGGAGCCUGCUUCUGUCUCUGCCUCUCUCUGUGUCUCGAAUGAAUGAUAGAAUGAAUGAAUGAAUAAAUAAAUAAAAUAGAAGACAGAGGGGCAGACGCAGCUCAGGAAAUGUCCAAUACACACAACGCUAUCUUGAAAGAAAAAAUUCCAGAAUAGGUUUCGAAGACUGGAACAUUUCUCUUUUUGAAAUCACUCUUCUAUCCCAUCUGAAAACAAAAAUUAAGAGGAUCUACCCUGUGUCAGGGGACAAUGAACGAAUAAGUUGUGUCAAAGUAGGUAAUUUAAAAAUGACACCAAAAGGUACACGUGACUUAUCACAAGCUCUGAGCAAGGUGUGUAAGCAUCCCUCUACACACACUGACAUUCACACUCAGGGCCUUGCCUUAAGUAACCAACCGAACUCAAAACUCCUGACACCAUGAGCUACUAUGGCAGCUACUCUGGAGGCCUGAGCUCUGGCUGUGGCUGAGGAGGCUGCAGAUACGGCUGCUGCCACCCCCAGUGCUAGGGAGGAUACGGGUUCUCUGCCUUCUACCCAAAUUCUGCCCCAAGAGCCCAACAUCUGAGGCCAUAAACGGAGUCUCCAAACCUGACUACAAUAAUCAAACCAAACAAGAUCAUUCAAGACCAAGCCAAGAUAAAAAGCAUAUGUAGCUUCUAAGAUUUUAGGCAUAUUUAUCACUUUAUAAUGUUCUCUUUCGUGUCUCCUGGUUUCCUUUAUUUGUGCUUUUAUAACUGUGAUAUUUCUCUAUUCCUUUUGCAAUAAAUUAUCUUAAAACAGUAAAAAAGGAAAGAGG